rnacentral:misc_RNA from 1 species
GAUGAAGAACGUAGCGAAACGCGAAAGGUAAUGCGAAUUGCAGAUCAGUGAGUCAUCGAAUAUUUGAACGCACAUUGCGCCCCCUGGUAUUCCGGGGGGCAUGCCUGUCCGAGCGUCAUUGCUGCCCUCAAGCACGGCUUGUGUGUUGGGCCCCGUCCUCCGAUCCCGGGGGACGGGCCCGAAAGGCAGCGGCGGCACCGCGUCCGGUCCUCGAGCGUAUGGGGCUUUGUCACCCGCUCUGUAGGCCCGGCCGGCGCUUGCCGAUCAACCCAAAUUUUUAUCCAGGUUGACCUCGGAUCAGGUAGGGAUACCCGCUGAACUUAAGCAUAUCAAUAAGCGGAGGA